GCCGACGUAGCUUAAUGUUAAAGCAGCUGGAAUGUAACCAGCAGAUUGAAGGUUAAACCCCUUUGCGUUGGCACCA
rnacentral:tRNA from 1 species